GAUUAACGCUGGCGGCGUGCAUAACACAUUCAAGUCGAACGGUGAGGGGGCUUCGGCCCCUGAUCAGUGGCGGACGGGUGAGUAACGCGUGAGCAACCUGCCCUUGUGUGGGGGAUAACGUUUGGAAACGGACGCUAAUACCGCAUAACCCAAUAGUACGGCAUGGUACAGUUGGCAAAGAUUUAUUGCACAAGGAUGGGCUCGCGUCUGAUUAGGUAGUUGGUGGGGUAACGGCCUACCAAGCCCGCGAUCAGUAGCCGGACUGAGAGGUUGAACGGCCACAUUGGAACUGAGAUACGGUCCAGACUCCUACGGGAGGCAGCAGUGGGGAAUAUUGGGCAAUGGGGGAAACCCUGACCCAGCGACGCCGCGUGAGGGAAGAAGGUCUUCGGAUUGUAAACCUUAAACAACAGGGACGAAGAAAGUGACGGUACCUGUUAGGAAGCCACGGCUAACUACGUGCCAGCCGCCGCCGUAAAAC
rnacentral:rRNA from 1 species